GUUCAACGGCCGCGGUACUCUGACCGCGCGAAGGUAGCGUAAUCACUUGUUUUUUAAAUGAAGACUAGUAUGAAAGGCACCACGAAAAUCAAACUGUCUCCUCUUUCCAAUCAGUGAAACUAAUCUCCCCGUGAAGAAGCGGGGAUUUCUAUAUAAGACGAGAAGACCCUACGGAGCUUCAAACUAACUGGCACUUGCCCAUUCUUUAACCUCGCAAGAAACUCACCCAAGCAUCUCUGCCCGCAAGUUUUAGGUUGGGGCGACCACGGAGAAUAAACAACCCUCCAUGCUGACACAGAACUAUUUCUAAAUGAAAACCAACAGGUUUUCAGAUCAACAUAUUGACACUAUUGACCCAGUAAUCUGAUCAACGAACCAAGUUACCCUAGGGAUAACAGCGCAAUCUACUUUGAGAGCCCAUAUCGACAAGUAGGCUUACGACCUCGAUGUUGGAUCAGGAAAUCCCAGUGGUGCAGCAGCUACUAAAGGUUCGUUUGUUCAACGAUUAAAACCC
rnacentral:rRNA from 1 species